rnacentral:rRNA from 1 species
GACGAACGCUGGCGGCGUGCUUAACACAUGCAAGUCGAACGGAAAGGCCCUGCUUUUGUGGGGUGCUCGAGUGGCGAACGGGUGAGUAACACGUGAGUAACCUGCCCUUGACUUUGGGAUAACUUCAGGAAACUGGGGCUAAUACCGGAUAGGAGCUCCUGCUGCAUGGUGGGGGUUGGAAAGUUUCGGCGGUUGGGGAUGGACUCGCGGCUUAUCCGCUUGUUGGUGGGGUAGUGGCUUACCAAGGCUUUGACGGGUAGCCGGCCUGAGAGGGUGACCGGCGACAUUGGGACUGAGGGACGGCCCAGACUCCUACGGGAGGCAGCAGUGGGGAGUAUUGCACAAUGGGCGGAAGCCUGAUGCAGCAACGCCGCGUGCGGGAUGACGGCCUUCGGGUUGUAAACCGCUUUCGCCUGUGACGAAGCGUGAGUGACGGUAAUGGGUAAAGAAGCACCGGCUAACUACGUG